rnacentral:tRNA from 1 species
UAAAAGGUGUCUGAUAAUAGGUGUUAGAUUGUAAAUCUAGUUAUGGGAUAAAUCCCUCUUUUAA